rnacentral:rRNA from 1 species
AUUGAACGCUGGCGGCAGGCCUAACACAUGCAAGUCGAGCGGAUGAAGGGAGCUUGCUCCUGGAUUCAGCGGCGGACGGGUGAGUAAUGCCUAUGAAUCUGCCUGGUAGUGGGGGAUAACGUCCGGAAACGGGCGCUAAUACCGCAUACGUCCUGAGGGUGAAAGUGGGGGAGCUUCGGACCUCACGCUAUCAUAUGAGCCUAGGUCGGAUUAGCUAGUUGGUGGGGUAAGGGCCUACCAAGGCGACGAUCCGUAGCUGGUCUGAGAGGAUGAUCAGUCACACUGGAGCUGGGACACGGUCCAGACUCCUACGGGAGGCAGCAGUGGGGAAUAUUGGACAAUGGGCGGAAGCCUGAUCCAGCCAUGCCGCGUGUGUGAAGAAGGUCUUCGGAUUGUAAAGCACUUUAAGGUGGGAGGAAGGGCAGUAAGUUAAUACCUUGCUGUUUUGACGUUACCAACAGAAUAAGCACCGGCUAACUUCGUG